AGCCACAAAGAUCUGGCUGCAUUGCUCCCAACUGGGACUGCUUGUAGACCUUCAGUUAUUCGAUGGGAAUGCGAUGAAGAAAAGUUAAAUUUAAACACUUCAGCCAGUGUUGUGCCUGAGUCUCUGUCGCCCCGCAGCUUGUCUAGUCAUUUGCACUAGCACAAAGAAUGUUAGCUGUGAAAGACCUACGUGGCCCAGAAAGGAAAAUGCUCAAGGAGGUGUAAAGUACAGUUCCUGUCCAGACUGGCCUUCUGCAACCAGAUGGAGGAAUUGCCCUGAGGGAGGGCAGAAAGCAUCGCCAUCCCCUGACAUCCUUUAGGGUUCUCAGGGCCAGGGCAGCUUUAAGUUGUGGUUGGAAUCCUCCUGGUGAAGGAUACUGAUCGGAUGUGACAAACAACAGCAUCCCUGAGCCAAGCCACCUCCACAGUCAGCACCACGUCUGUAGGCUCACCGGCAGAAGGCAGGUUUCAUCCGCUUGCUGCUACUUCUGCAAAUCCUUUAUGCCCCCCACAGGCUUUAUACCCCGGGAUUUGGACUCAGCACCGGACAAAACCAGAGCUUCCUCACCUGGCAAUGCAUGAUCCUGUCAUUUGGUCACAUGGACAGCCCCAUCCAUCCCAGGCAUUCUCCUUUUUUACCUCUCUCCUGUAACCCUUCUGCCAAGUGCCAAUGGCAGCAUUAAGGGACAGGUUCAGUCUAUCUCUUCCUUCUCUAAAAUAAAUUCAAUGAUGUUUCGAGCCCCAAUCCAGAGCUGUGCUCCUACUUCUGGCUCUGGAAAGUUAAAACACAACCCUCCCUGGCCACCUUUGCAGGUGGUUCUUCCCAACUCAG